GCUCAACCGGGGAGGGUCAUUGGAAACUGGGGAACUUGAGUGCAGAAGAGGAGAGUGGAAUUCCACGUGUAGCGGUGAAAUGCGUAGAGAUGUGGAGGAACACCAGUGGCGAAGGCGACUCUCUGGUCUGUAACUGACGCUGAGGCGCGAAAGCGUGGGGAGCGAACAGGAUUAGAUACCCUGGUAGUCCACGCCGUAAACGAUGAGUGCUAAGUGUUAGAGGGUUUCCGCCCUUUAGUGCUGCAGCAAACGCAUUAAGCACUCCGCCUGGGGAGUACGGUCGCAAGACUGAAACUCAAAGGAAUUGACGGGGGCCCGCACAAGCGGUGGAGCAUGUGGUUUAAUUCGAAGCAACGCGAAGAACCUUACCAGGUCUUGACAUCCUUUGACAACCCUAGAGAUAGGGCUUCCCCUUCGGGGGCAGAGUGACAGGUGGUGCAUGGUUGUCGUCAGCUCGUGUCGUGAGAUGUUGGGUUAAGUCCCGCAACGAGCGCAACCCUUGAUCUUAGUUGCCAGCAUUCAGUUGGGCACUCUAAGGUGACUGCCGGUGACAAACCGGAGGAAGGUGGGGAUGACGUCAAAUCAUCAUGCCCCUUAUGACCUGCGCUACACACGUGCUACAAUGGGCAGAACAAAG
rnacentral:rRNA from 1 species